AUACGUAGGGAGCGAGCGUUGUCCGGAAUUACUGGGUGUAAAGGGUGCGUAGGCGGGGCUGCAAGUCAGAUGUGAAAUGCCGGGGCUCAACCCCGGAGCUGCAUUUGAAACUGUGGAUCUUGAGUGAGGUAGAGGUAAGCGGAAUUCCUAGUGUAGAGGUGAAAUGCGUAGAUAUUAGGAGGAACAUCGGUGGCGAAGGCGGCUUACUGGGCCUUUACUGACGCUGAGGCACGAAAGCGUGGGGAGCAAACAGGAUUAGAUACCCUGGUAGUCCACGCUGUAAACGAUGAUGACUAGGUGUGGGGGGACUGAACCCUUCCGUGCCGCAGUUAACACAAUAAGUCAUCCACCUGGGGAGUACGGCCGCAAGGUUGAAACUCAAAUGAAUUGGCGGGG
rnacentral:rRNA from 1 species